AGACUUACUUGGGUGUUCAGAAAGGGCCUCUGAACAGGUGGCAUUUAAGCUGAGAUUCAUAUGACAAGGAUGGAGCAGUUAUGUGGAGAUCAGGGAGAAGGGAGAAUGCAAAGGCCUUCAGCAGGCACAAGCUUGCCAUCUUCCCAGACCCUAGCUUUUAACUCCUCUUCCCCAGGUUCAGGGAGAUUACUAUGGAGAUCUGGCUGCUCGCCUGGGCUAUUUCCCCAGUAGCAUUGUCCGAGAGGACCAGACCCUGAAACCUGGCAAAGUCGAUGUGAAGACAGACAAAUGGGAUUUCUACUGCCAGUGAGCUCAGCCUACCGCUGGCCCUGCCGUUUCCCCUCCUUGGCUUUAUGCAAAUACAAUCAGCCCAGUGCAAA
rnacentral:lncRNA from 1 species